UCGCCUGUUUAUCAAAAACAUAGCCUAUUUCUUAACUUAGGUAUAACCCUGCCCUCUGAAUUUUAACAGCCGCGGUAUCCUAACCGUGCUAAGGUAGCAUAAUCAUUUGCCUAUUAAUUAUAGGCUAGCAUGAAUGGGAUUACUCACUUAAAUUUAUUUUCAUUACAAUUAAAAUUAAACUUUAAGUUAAAAUACUAAAUUUUUAAGAAAGACAAAAAGACCCUGAAAACUAUUAGAAGAUAAUUAGUUGGGGCAACUAUAGACCACUACAGCGUCUAUUAAAAUAAGAAUUCUAAAAUUCAAAGCAUACAGUUACUUCAGGGAUAACAGACUAAUUGUAUUAUUUAGACCUAAUAAAUAAUAAAGAUUGGCACCUCGAUGUUGGCUUAUAAUUCCUUCAUAUAGUAACAUAUAUUGAAGGCAGCUUGUUCAUCUGAUAAAUAUUUACAUGAGCUGAGUUCAGACC
rnacentral:rRNA from 1 species